rnacentral:rRNA from 1 species
AGGGCGCAUGGUGAAUGCCUUGGCAUCAGGAGCCGAUGAAGGACGUGAUAAGCUGCGAUAAGCUUCGGGUAGGCGCACAUAGCCAGUGAUCCGGAGAUCUCCGAAUGAGGAAACUCACAUGGGAAACCCCAUGUAUUCUGAAGUGAAUAAAUAGCUUCAGAAGGGUAAACCCAGGGAACUGAAACAUCUAAGUACCUGGAGGAAGAGAAAGAAAAAUCGAUUUUCUUAGUAGCGGCGAGCGAAAAGGAAAGAGCCCAAACCGGAAACUUGUUUCCGGGGUUGCGGACAGAACAUAAAAUACACGAUAUGAUUAACCGAACUCAGCUGGAAAGCUGGUCCACAGAGAGUAAUAGCCUCGUAGGUGAAAGUCAUUAGUGUCAGUUCUGAUCCAGAGUACCACGAGACACGUGAAACCUUGUGGGAAGCAGGGAGGACCACCUCCCAAGGCUAAAUACUACCUGAUGACCGAUAGUGAAGAAGUACCGUGAGGGAAAGGUGAAAAGAACCCCGGGAGGGGAGUGAAAUAGAAUCUGAAACCGUGUGCCUACAACCGGUCAGAGCACCUUAUGUGUGUGAUGACGUGCUUUUUGUAGAACGAGCCUGCGAGUUACGGUAUGUAGCGAGGUUAAGUACUUAAGGUACGGAGCCGAAGGGAAACCGAGUCUGAAUAGGGCGACUAGUUGCAUGCCGUAGACCCGAAACCGGGUGACCUAUCCAUGGCCAGGUUGAAGCGGAAGUAAAAUUCCGUGGAGGACCGAACCACGUUGGUGUUGAAAAACCAUGGGAUGAGCUGUGGAUAGCGGAGAAAUUCCAAUCGAACUCGGAGAUAGCUGGUUCUCCUCGAAAUAGCUUUAGGGCUAGCGUCGGAUGUGAGUAGCGGAGGUAGAGCACUGAAUGGGCUAGGGGGCGUAUAGCUUACCGAACCUUAUCAAACUCCGAAUGCCGCAUACUAUUAGUCCGGCAGUCAGACUGCGACAGAUAAGUGCCGUAGUCAAAAGGGAAAAAGCCCAGACCGUCAGCUAAGGUCCCCAAGUAUAGAUUAAGUGGUAAAGGAUGUGGGAUUUCUAAGACAACUAGGAUGUUGGCUUAGAAGCAGCCACUCAUUGAAAGAGUGCGUAAUAGCUCACUAGUCGAGAGAUCCCGCGCCGAAGAUGUCCGGGGCUAAAAUCUAUCACCGAAGCUACGGGUUGACACGUAUGUGUCAGCGGUAGGGGAGCGUCCUGUAUGGGCUGAAGUCGUACCGUAAGGAGCGGUGGACUGUACAGGAGUGAGAAUGCAGGCAUAAGUAGCGAGAAAUGAGUGAGAAUCUCAUUGGCCGAAAACCUAAGGUUUCCUCAGGAAGGCUCGUCCGCUGAGGGUUAGUCGGGACCUAAGCCGAGGCCGAAAGGCGUAGGUGAUGGACAAUCGGUUGAUAUUCCGAUACUACUGUCAAUCGCUAUUACCGAUGGCGUGACGCAGGAGGAUAGUGUGUGCCAGCUAUUGGAUGCUGGUCUAAGCACUUAGGUAUACAGGAUAGGCAAAUCCGCCUGUAUAAGCUGAGGUGUGAUGGGGAAGGUUCUACGGAACCGAAGUACAUGAUUCCACGCUGCCAAGAAAAGCGUCUAGGGAGAAAGACAGUACCCGUACCGCAAACCGACACAGGUAGGUGAGGAGAGAAUCCUAAGGCCGGCGGAAGAAUUGCAGUUAAGGAACUCGGCAAAUUGACCCCGUAACUUCGGGAGAAGGGGUGCCAUGGAGACAUGGCCGCAGAGAAUAGGCCCAAGCAACUGUUUAACAAAAACACAGGUCUCUGCUAAAGCGAAAGCUGAAGUAUAGGGGCUGACGCCUGCCCGGUGCUGGAAGGUUAAGGGGAUCACUUAGCGCAAGCGAAGGUGUGAACUUAAGCCCCAGUAAACGGCGGCCGUAACUAUAACGGUCCUAAGGUAGCGAAAUUCCUUGUCAGGUAAGUUCUGACCCGCACGAAUGGCGUAAUGACUUGGGCACUGUCUCAACUGCAAAUCCGGCGAAAUUGUAGUGCAAGUGAAGAUGCUUGCUACCCGUGGUUGGACGGAAAGACCCCGUAGAGCUUUACUGCAGCUUAGCAUUGAGUCUCGGUAUUGUCUGUACAGGAUAGGUGGGAGACUGGGAAGCAGGAUCGUCAGGUUCUGUGGAGUCACCCUUGGGAUACCACCCUGACAGUACUGGGAUUCUAACCGGACGCCAUGAAACUGGCGACGGGACAUUGUUAGGUGGGCAGUUUGACUGGGGCGGUCGCCUCCUAAAAUGUAACGGAGGCGCUCAAAGGUUCCCUCAGAACGGUCGGAAAUCGUUCGAAGAGUGCAAAGGCAGAAGGGAGCCUGACUGCGACACCUACAAGUGGAGCAGGGACGAAAGUCGGACUUAGUGAUCCGGUGGUACCUCGUGGGAGGGCCAUCGCUCAACGGAUAAAAGCUACCUCGGGGAUAACAGGCUGAUCUCCCCCAAGAGUCCACAUCGACGGGGAGGUUUGGCACCUCGAUGUCGGCUCGUCGCAUCCUGGGGCUGAAGUAGGUCCCAAGGGUUGGGCUGUUCGCCCAUUAAAGCGGCACGCGAGCUGGGUUCAGAACGUCGUGAGACAGUUCGGUCCCUAUCCGCCACGGGCGCAGGAAAUUUGAGAGGAGCUGUCCUUAGUACGAGAGGACCGGGAUGGACUGACCUCUGGUGCACCAGUUGUUCCGCCAGGAGCACAGCUGGGUAGCUAUGUCGGGAAGGGAUAAACGCUGAAAGCAUCUAAGCGUGAAGCCCACCUCAAGAUUAGAUUUCCCAUAGCGUAAGCUAGUAAGACCCCUUGA